UUAUUAAAAUUAUUUGAUUUUUAUAAAUAAUUUAAUUAAAAUAAUUUUAAAUUUAUGUUUUUUAGUAUUUUAUAAAGAAUAAAUUAUAAUAAUUAUAUAUAAAUUGUAUUGUAUAAGAAUAUUUGAAAUAUAAUGAAAUAUUUUUUUUAAUAAAAGUAAAUUUUAUUUAUUAUACCUUUUGUAUCAGGGUUUAUUUAAUUAAUAAUAUUUAAAUUAAUAUUUUUCUCGAUUUUAAAAGAGUUAAUUUAUUAUGUUAGUUAUUGUAUUAUAAAUAUUAAUAAUAAUAUUUUAGAAAUGAAAUGUUAAUCGUUUUUAAAUUUAUCUAGUUUUUUUAGAAAUGAAUUUAAUUCAUAAAUUAGAUUAUUUAAUUUAAAAUUUAAAUUUUAAAUAAAUUUAAUUUUUAUAAUUUAGGGGGUUAUCUUUAAAUUAAUAAUUAUAAUUUUUUCAUAGUUAAUUAAAAUUUAUAAAUUUAGAAAUGAUUAAUAAUUAAAAAUUUUAAUAAUGUAUUUUAAAUCUUGUAAAUUUAAAUUUAAUUUUUUUAUUUAAAUAUAAUUUUCAAUAAUAAAAAUUUAGUAAUAAUGAUAUAAUUAGUAUAAUAAUUUUUUUGUAAAAUUAAUUAAAUGUUAAAGAUUAAAAUAAGGAAUUCGGCAAAAAUUUAUACUCGCCUGUUUAUCAAAAACUUGUCUUUUUGAAUAUAAUAUAAAGUCUAAUCUGCCCACUGAUUUAGAUAUUUAAGGGCCGCAGUAUUUUGACUGUGCAAAGGUAGCAUAAUCAUUAGUCUUUUAAUUAAAGUCUUGAAUGAAGGAUUGAACGAAGUAUAAUCUGUCUCAUUUUAAUAAAUAUUAAAAAUUAAUUUUUAAGUUAAAAAGCUUAAAUUAUUUUAAUAGACGAGAAGACCCUAUAGAACUUUAUAUUGAAUUUUAAUUUUAUUAAUUAAAUUUAUUAAAAUUAAUUAAAAUUUAUUAUUUUGUUGGGGUGACAAGAAAAUUAAAUAAACUUUUCUAAUUUGAUAUUCAUAAAUUAAUGAUUUUUUUUAAGAUCUUAUAUUAUAAAUUAUUAAAAUAAGUUACCUUAGGGAUAACAGCGUAAUUAUUUUUUAAAGUUCAUAUUAACAAAAUAGAUUACGACCUCGAUGUUGGAUUAAAAUUAAUAAUUAGGUGUAGAAGCUUAAAUUAUUUGGUCUGUUCGACCAUAUUAUUUUUACAUGAUCUGAGUUAAAAUCGGUGUAAGCCAGAUUGGUUUCUAUCUUUAAUAAAUUAUUUAUAUUUUAGU
rnacentral:rRNA from 1 species